rnacentral:rRNA from 1 species
GGACAGUGGCGGACGGGUGAGUAACGCGUGGGAAUCUGCCCUUUGGUGGGGAAUAGUUCCAGGAAACUGGAGGUAAUACCGCAUAAGUCCCGAGAGCAAUCGAGGGAGAAAGGUCGUAACUGGCCGCCGAAGGAGGAGCCUGCGUCCUAUCAGCUUGUUGGUGGGGUAAUGGCCUACCAAGGCGACGACGGGUAGCUGGACUGAGAGGUCGGUCAGCCACAAUAGCACUGAGACACGGGCUAUACACCUACGGGUGGCAGCAACCGGGAAUCUUGCGCAAUGGGCGAAAGCCUGACGCAGCGACACCGCGUGGAGGAUGAAGGCCUUCGGGUUGUAAACUUCUUUUGUGGUCGAAUAUUCGAUCAAGAAUAAGCACCUGCAAACUACGUGCCAGCAGCAGCGGUAAAACGUAGGGUGCCAGCGUUAUCCGGAUUUAUUGGGCGUAAAGAGUUUCGUAGGCGGUGGGGUAAGUAGUAAGUUAAAGACUCUGGCUCAACUAGAGAAAUGCUUACUAAACUGCUCUACUUGAGGUCGUUAGGGGGUGCUGGAAUUCCUGGUGGAGGGGUGAAAUCCAUUGAUAUCAGGAAGAACGCCGAGGGCGAAGCAGGCACCUGGGGCGAACCUGACGCUGAUGAACGAAAGCUAGGGGAGCAAAAGGGAUUAGAGACCCCUGUAGUCCUAGCCGUAAACGAUGGGACGCUAGUUGGGUCGAAAA